UACGUAGGGGGGCAAGCGUUGUCCGGAUUUAUUGGGCGUAAAGAGCGUGUAGGCGGCCAUACAGGUCAGCUGUGAAAACUCGAGGCUCAACCUCGAGACGUCGGUUGAAACCGUAUGGCUAGAGUCCGGAAGAGGAGAGUGGAAUUCCCGGUGUAGCGGUGAAAUGCGCAGAUAUCAGGAGGAACACCGGUGGCGAAGGCGGGUCUCUGGGCAGUAACUGACGCUGAGGAGCGAAAGCGUGGGGAGCGAACAGG
rnacentral:rRNA from 1 species